CUAACGCAUUAAACAUUCCGCCUGGGGAGUCGUCCAAGAUUAAAAUCAAAGGAAUUGCGGGGGCCCGCCAAGCGGUGGAGCAUGUGUUUAUUGAAGCAACGCGCAGACCUUACCAGCCCUUGACAUCUUACGACCGGUAAGAGAUUUACUUCACUUCGGGGCGUAGAGACAGGUGCGCAUGGCGUGUCAGCUCGUGUCGUGAGAUGUUGGGUUAAGUCCCGCAACGACGCAACCCUGCCCUUAGUUGCCCAUUCGUUGGGCACUCUAAGGGACCCGGUGAUAACCAGAGGAAGGUGGGGAUGACGUCAAGUCUCAUGGCCCUUACGGGCUGGGCUACACACGUGCUACAAUGGUGACAGUGGGCAGCGAGCCGCGAGUGUGAGCUAAUCUCCAAAAGCCAUCUCAGUUCGGAUGCCUCUGCAACUCGAGAGCAUGAAGUGAUCGCUAGUAUCGCGCAGGCCCU
rnacentral:rRNA from 1 species